rnacentral:snRNA from 1 species
AUCGCUUCUCGGCCUUUUGGCUAAGAUCAAAGUGUAGUAUCUGUUCUUAUCAGCUUAAUCUCUGGUACGGCUUCCAUAGGACCUGCGAAGCUAAUAUGUAUUGUGGUACUGGGUUCGAUUCCCGGUCAUAGGCCUUGGAUUUUAUUUAAUGUUUAAAAAUGAGAAAUAGUAAAGUAUGUUUGCUAGACGCCUCCGU